AACGCACGAGACCUGCGGACCUGCGGAAGGAUCAUUAGUGAACGCCCUCACGGGCUUAUAACUAUUCCAAACCUCUGUGAACCGUGCCCUUCGGGGCUAUUUUACAAACAUGGUGUAAUGAACGUCAUAUAUCAUAACAAAACAAAACUUUCAACAAUGGAUCUCU
rnacentral:misc_RNA from 1 species